AAUCCACCCCAUCUCGUCUGAUCUUGGAAGCUAAG
ensembl:rRNA 5S_rRNA 5S ribosomal RNA